UUUUGCGCGCCUGUUCACGGUCGCCCACAUCGAGGCUGCUUUAGCCUGGCUUCCGCCCUUAGUAAGACGUUAGUAUGUUCCUGCGACAGUGAGAAUAGACAACAUCGAGUGAAAGUGGAAAUGGAUAUUCACCCACAAAGGGGACCCCUGUGAAAGGGUUGUUUGACCUCCAAAGGGGAUGUGACCCAAAGGUUGAGAACCUCUGAUAAAGACUUUAUUAGGCCAGGUAAGUGUUCAAACUUGUUUCUCCGUGUUUAUCUAUUUGUCCCUUAGUGUUCAGGUCUCCAUGCAAUGAGGAAGAAAAGCUGGCUAGAUGAGCGCUCCCACCUCUACAUAACAGUCUUCAAUGAUUUCCCCUACUUCCUUUUCAGAGUGACUGCUAAAGAGAUGGAGACAGAAAGUACCAGAAUUACUUGGAGGGGCUUUCCCAACCCUUAUCUGGUCUCUACGUAGCUGACAUUCCACUAAUCAUUUGCCCUUGCCUCUCGUCUCAAGCCAAUCAAAUGAAGACCACUUUUGAAACAGGCCAAGGUAACUGUUAGGAGUGGAUUAUAGUCCUUAAGUCUUAACAAGAAAAAGGAUUGAAAAUCAAUGCUGAACUAUGCUAAACCUUUUCUUUUGUUAACACAGGAAGCCAGCACUGGCUCUCCUAGAUGACGCCCACAGCACCUGAAUACAUGUACUGGUCACCUGAACCAGUGGAUCCUUCCUGCUCUGAAGCUAUCCAACAAUAUCAAAUAAGGAGGUCUCUCCCCAAAUUAAGCCAUCUUUGUAAACUGGGCAUCAAAGGGGAUGGGAUGAUUCUUGUGUUCUUCUCAUUUCAGAAUUUUUGAGAUCAGCUAAGACCAAGACAACAAGUUCCCUCUGAGAAAACAGUAUCAUUUGCUCUCAUCUCUGUAUUAAUCCGUUCACUAAAAUCACAGUAACU
rnacentral:sRNA from 1 species